GAUCGCAUAUUGGUACAGAUGUUGUAUAUAAAUAUUUAUGUUAGUAUUGAUAAUGUAUAUUGUUUUAUACUUAUUUGCAUGAAUCUCGGUUUUUAAAUAUUCCCGCUUCGAGGUGAGUAUGCGUUUGCGAGAGCGUCCGAGAGUGGUAAAAUACUACACGAGAGCCGAUCUGUCCAAGAUGGACGUGUAUGUCAACGUGCCAUAAAAAACCACCCGGACUUCAGACACAUAACACCUGAGAUGUGUGCCUACAGGAGGGGUUAUGGGUGCCAGACCACCCUGCUGCGCAUGCUGGAGGACUGGAAGAGGGCCUUGGAUGACCACCACCAUGUUGGUGCUAUACUAAUGGACCUUUCCAAGGCCUUCGACUGUCUUCCGCAUGACCUGUUCCUCAGGAAACUCUCUGCAUAUGGAGUAGGGGAGGGGGCUGUGCGCCUCCUCCAGAGCUACCUGGGGAACAGGAGCCAGAGGGUGAAGCUGGGGCCCAACACCAGUGAAUGGAGACUACUGAAGAAGGGGGUACCCCAGGGCUCCAUACUGGGACCACUGGUUUUUAAUAUAUUUAUUAAUGACAUAUUUUAUAAGAUUAAGGACUCUGUAUUGUACAAUUAUGCUGAUGAUAACACUUUAAGUUAUGAAAACAAGAAUGUUGAUGCGUAAAAGAAGGUCCUUGAAAGAGAGGCUAAAGUCCUGAUCGAUUGGUUUAAAUCUAACGGAAUGCAAGCCAACCCAGAUAUGUUUCAGGCAAUUUAUUUUGGAAAAAAUCAAAAUGAUUUAACAAAUUUUGAAAUUGAAGGAGUAAAAAUUGACUGUGAAGAAAAUGUAAAGCUACUUGGAGUAAAUAUAGAUUCAAAAUUAAAUUUUAACGAACACAUCUCAGAGCUAUGUAGAAAAGCCUCAAAACAGGUGGCGGUACUCAAGCGAAUUGGAAACUCUUUACCAAAAAAUGUAAAAAUGUUAAUUCUCAAAUCCUUUGUAAUGUCAAACUUUAAUUUUUGUCCUGUUAUUUGGCACUUUUGUAAUAAAUCUAGCACAAACAAGAUGGAAAAAAUCCAGGAGAGAGGACUACGUUUUGUACUAAAUGAUUAUAUCUCAGAUUACAAGGAUAUUUUAUCGAGCACAGACUCAUAUUAUUUACAUAUUACUCGCAUGAAACUCAUUGCUUGCGAAGUUUUUAAAAUUGUUAAUAAGUUAUCUCCUGACUACCUACAAGAAAUAAUAAAUAUAAAAUGUUCAUCUUAUUCAUUUAGGAAUGAAAAUACAGCACAGCUUCCAAGGGUCAACACCACCAGAUUUCCAUGAACGGGUUGGUAGGUGAGAGGAAUGUGAACGAGACAACUGGCGCGACACACAUUGGGUCAGUUCCACAAGGGCAGACAACUGGUGCUACACACAGUGGGUCAGUUUUACAAGGGCAGACAACUCAUAGUUGUACUGACGUCAUGCGUCAGUGAGGGAGCAGUCCUCAGGUCAUCUGCGGAACCGGAGGCCUGCAUUAUAGCACAUCGGUGCUAGACCGUUCUCAGCACAUCGGUGCUAAACCCUUCUGCGGUGGGGUAUAUAUCCAUGAUUAGCGGACGUGGAUUAUAUGGUGAAGCGGAACACAAGUUUGUGAGACUUGUUUAGUCCAUCGGAUCCUUUCCAUAUUGUAUUGGGUAUUGCCCACAUGGACAGUGGAACUAUUGGUAUACAAGCGGCAACUGUGACUCCACCAACCGGAGUAAUGACCUUUAGUGUUGAAUGUAUGAAUGUGUGUUUGUGAGUGUGAGUACAUACUUACGGGGGUUUUCUUCAAUAAUUAUUGUAAAUAAACUUGUAGAUAUUGUAUAACAAAUCGUUCUGUAUUCUUUCAGCUACCGACCGGUCGUCCAACGUUACAGUGGGGAUCUCAACCAUUUCCAAGUAAUACACCUUUUUUGGCCCUAGUCCUAAGCCCGGGGGUUCAGCCCCAAAAUUUCCAGUUAAAUAUGGUUGAUAUCCAUCUCUUAUAUCCAGAGAAGAAGUCACUUAAAGCAUUAUAGCCAAAUUGCCCCUUUUUGGCCCCGCCCAUCAGCCCUACUAUUUGUACAAUUUUAAAUCCCCAUCACCUAUCAUCCCCGCCAGUGUACAAUUUUGAAUCCCUGCCUCCCACGAAUGCUUUUGAUCAAAUAUGAUUGAUAUCCAGUGGAUAGUUCUAC